GGACCACCGCCUGCGCUGCUGAAGGAAGCUGGUAUCCAGACGGGAACAAGGACCAGAUUACCAGGACUUCUGCACACGUCGACUCCUGGUCACAUGAGAUCUACGUCACCAAGUCCUCAUGGUGGUGUUACCAGGAAGCUGUGCUGCCUGAAGAAUCAUCAAUUAAUCGUCAGGUACACAUUGUGAACCUGAGUUUCCUCAUCUGAAAGAAGGGAAUAAUAGCAUAUGCUCAUAGAAUUGAGAUCUAUUGAAAAUAAAAAUAAGAGUUAAUUUUUCAUCUGUACAAUUAGAAAAGACAAAUAUUGAUUAUAUUCAGAGUUGAUGAGCAUAUGGUAAAACAAAUAUUCACAUGUACUGUGAGACUAUUAAGUAGUACAACAUUUUUGGAAGUCAUUUUGGCAAUAUCAAACUUUAGAAGAUAUGUGCUUUUGGACACAUCAAUUCCUCUUCUAGAGAUUUAUCAUACAUUAAUACUCCUAUGCCAAAUAUGGUCAUUGUAGUAGUUGUGGCAAUAGUGUUUUUUUUAAAGAGCCAAAAACUUAUAUGUUUCUAAAAGGAAAUUGGUUUAAGAAAAGUUUGAUCAUUCAUAUAGAGCCACAUUAUACAGUGAUGAAAAAAUGAUGUGGAGUUACAUUUACUCACAUGAAAAAAAUUGUUCAAUGUAUAUUGUUAAACAAAAAAAGGCAAAUUGAAAGUUAAUUUUAUAUGUGGUAUUACAUUUUUGUAACAGUAUACAUAUUUGUGUAUUUAAAAUAUGAGUAUACAAUUAAAUUACAUGAUAACAUGAUAAGUGAAGUCCAGAAAUUCAUUCUAUAAAAUUCCAGGUUAUGUUACUGAGAGAUGGAUGGAUGGAAUGACUGAUGUGAGUCUAUUUGGCUAGCUGGCUACACAACCCAAAUUCAUCAAGGACUCAGCUGUGAUUUGUUGCCACAAACAAUUCUUCACUGAGCACUUGGACUUAAAUAUCAUCCAUCCAUUUUACUCUCUCCCCACCUGCUAUCACCAAUCAUGUUAUAUCCAAACUCAAGUUGUUUCAGGGUCUUACUGUAUUUUUAUAUCAUUAGAAAUGCAGAUGAAUAUAUCCUGAACAUCAUAGGAUAUACUUGAGAAUGUGUAUUUCAUAUAAAGAGAACUUUUAUUUUCUAAGUGUUGUAUUUAUAUAUUUAAAUUACUAAUAAGUUACACAAAUUAAUUCAAGAUGGAUUAAAGACUUAAAUGUUAGACCUAAAACCAUAAAAACCCUAGAAGAAAACCUAGGCAAUACCAUUCAGGACAUAGGCAUGGACAGGGACUUCAUGACUAAAACACCAAAAGCAAUGGCAACAAAAGCCAAAAUAGACAAAUGGGAUCUAAUUAAACUAAAGAGUUUCUGCACAGCAAAAGAAACUUCCAUCAGAGUAAACAGGUAACCUACAGAAUGGGAGAAAAUUUUUGCAGUCUACCCAUCUGACAAAGGGCUAAUAUCCAGAAUCUACAAAGAACUUAAACAAAUUUACAAGAAAAAAACCACCCCAUCAAAAAGUGGGCAAAGGAUAUGAACAGACGCUUCUCAAAAGAAGACAUUUAUGCAGCCAACAGACACAUGAAAAAAUGCUCAUCAUCACUGGUCAUCAGAGAAAUGCAAAUCAAAACCACAAUGAGAUACCAUCUCACGCCAGUUAGAAUGGUGAUCAAUAAAAAGUCAGGAAACAACAUGCUGGAGAGGAUGUGGAGAAACAGGAAUGCUUUUAUACUGUUGGUGGGAGUGUAAAUUAGUUCAACUAUUGUGGAAGACAGUGUGGCGAUUCCUCAAGUAUCUAGAACUAGAAAUACCAUUUGACCCAGUGAUUCCAUUACUGGGUAUAUAACCAAAGGAUUAGAAAUCAUGCUGCUAUAAAGACAUAUGCACACGUAUGUUUAUUGUGGCACUAUUCACAAUAGCAAAGACUUGGAACCAACCAAAAUGUCCAUCAAUGAUAGACUGGAUUUAGAAAAUGUGGCACAUAUACACCACGGAAUACUAUGCAGCCAUAAAAAAAGGAUGAGUUCAUGUCCUUUGCAGGGACAUGGAUGAAGCUGGAAACCAUCAUUCUCAGCAAACUAUCACAAGGACAGAAAACCAAACACCGCAUGUUCUCACUCAUAGGUGGGAAUUGAACAAUGAGAACAGUUGGACACAGGGUGGGGAACAUCACACACGGGGGCCUGUCGGGGGCUGGGGGCCUGGAGGAGGGAUAGCAUUAGGAGAAAUACCUAAUGUAAAUGACAAUUGAUGGGUGCAGCAAACCAACAUGGCACAUGUAUACCUAUGUAACAAACCUGCAUAUUGUGCACAUGUACCCUAGAACUUAAAAUAUAAUAAUAAAUAAAUAAAUAAUAAGUAAUAUAUUAAUUACUAAUAUUCAGAAAAAUGUUUGAGACAAAAGUGAAAAAUGAAGAAGAAAUAAAAUAUCUGACAAAUAUUA